GGGCGGGGCUGCCGGCUGCGCCUGCCCGCGGUGCGGCGGGGGCGGGCGGUACGGCCGGGACGGGCGGGGCGGUGGAUGGGUCCGGCCCGCCUGGAUUUCGGUGGUUUAUAAUUGCCACAAGUAGUGGAAAGUGUUUGAGCUAAGGCCUUUCUUGCUUGUGUCUCUCUCUGCCCUUUGCCUGCAAGCCCCUCUGCCAUUAAGAAAGACAUUGCGGCCCUGGAACGUGUUCAGAGGAGGGCUACAGAGCUGAAAUAGACCUAUGAGCAGUAAUCCUGAAGCCUGGAAAGGAUGCCUUAACUGAAGACUUGGUGAGGUUUUUAAUGAGGAUUAGGGAAUGUGAGAUGAUAUAAAGCGCUGUAUCCAAGGAGGUUGUUGUGCAAGAAUCUUCAGACAAGUUUUAAAUCAGAAUCCUUUGUCAGCAGCAGUAGGAUCCAGUAAGGAUAAUAUGCUAAUUUUAACCAGCAAUAGUCUUCAUAUAGGGAUCUAAAAAGACAGAGAGAGAUAUGAUCUUAUUAAGCUUUUGUGUUGACACUGCACAGCUUGUUACUGUACUCAAUUGAAAUUUAAGAGUGGGAAUGUAAAGCUUGUAUAACAUGUUAGUAAGAUAUACAGUAACACUGAAGCCUGAAUAACAAUUGAGAGAAUAAGUAAGAAAUUCCCUUAGCCCUUGGGCUACCACCCCUUCUCUACUCCAGCAGACAAGUAAAUGCUGUAGGUGUCUAUGUUGUAAAAACUUUCCCAGAGGCAAUUCUGGCAGAACACCUACUUUCUUCACACCGGACCCAUUGCUUUAACCUUCUGAAUGUCAGAUUUCUAAAGCUAAGUGCUUCUGCUGCACUGCCAGCUGCUUCUGGUCUCUGGGCUUUCCUUGCAGGCUGCUAGGAGUGCAGAACAGUAUCACAGGAAUGUGUGCUCAAGGAACAGGGACAAUUGAUUCUCUCUUCACAUUACAACUAGAAAGGGUUGCAAGGUACAUUCGAGCAAGGUCUUGUUUUUCAUGAUGAAAGGAAUGUUCUAAUAAUUAGCAAGACUCUGUUUUACUGAGUUUAUGGUAUUGAUUGGCUGCAAUUCUUAAUCGGCUGAAGUUUCUUUUAUCACUCCAGUACUUUUUCAUAUUCUCUUGUAUAAUGGUUGCAUGAGCCUCACUGGCAGCAAGGAGCAGAUGACUGGUAGUUCUGAAAUAGUUAUGUGUAAAGGCCACAAUGCAUUUUAUUAUUUAUUUUUUUAGCACAAAAGCCAAGAGAAUACAUACAGGUGCAGUGCAGUACUUCAAUAUAACAUUUUUUUCAAUGGAGCUAUGUCAUACCUUCACAAGAACACAUUGUUAGCCUCUCAUCAAGCAUCACAUAACUAUUUUCAAUCCUUUAUAACAUGUUCGUGUGACCAGAUAUAUUUUUGUAUGUCAGUUGAUUUUCGUGGUGGCAAAACUGUCUGUGGCUCAUCCAAAUGCUGUCACGUUUCACAAUGGCAAGAUCAGUCAGAGAAGAGCUCAGCAGAACUGAAUGCUUACAGAAGACAAACAGCUAUUCAGCACAUCUGCCAAUGAUUUCAGGGCAUGCUUAAGGACCAUCAGUCCAAGCCUGAAGCUGCAGUGACAUCUGCAGUUCCUGUUCAAGCUCAGGAGCCUUGGGAUGUACAGAAAACUGCAACACCUCUAAGUGACACUUGGAGCAGCUGGCAAAAUGAGACAGCUUUUUCCUUCUUGCUGUUAGCAUCCAGUAUGCACUAAUGAAAGUUAUUCUGCAUUGCUAGUGAGAUUUUCCCCCUCUCCUGGUGUUAUAAUCCUGUGGACCCAGUGUUGUCCUGUUCCUAGUUCCCUGACCAUUACUAUUCCUGGGCACACUGUAAAUACUGAAGGUGGCAUUGCUAUAGAUGCAACAUACUGACUGCUUGAGAAAAUGUUGUUUACUUCACGUUCCUGAAAGUUAAUCCUGAAACAUUCUGGAACUACAGUAAUCAACACCUUUAUCUUUUUCUCUGGGGGAGAAAAUGGAGACCAGCAAUGUCAUCAAAGAGCAAGAGCUCCACCCUGCCUUAUUAGCACCUUGCUUUUCCUCUUGGGUUGCAAAAUCAUGGAGCCAAGAGUGCUAUUUAUAGCUUUUGCAAGGCUGCAGUGGCUUGUCCUGUCUCCACAGCUAACCAUUUGUCUGCCUCUUGCACCGUGGUGACAGCACCCUCACCACCUGCAGAAGGCUCUGGAAUGAUGUGGCAGUUCUGAAGGAGAUUAAUGACAGCCAGAACACAGGGCCAAUGGGAGUAGUUAAACACCCCGGAUUCUGAGACAGAGGAAGGAUUUAGGAGCAGAAGGAUGAUAAAAGGGGAAUAUGGAGGUGUAGAAAGAAGGAGAAGCAGGAACUCUCAUAAAUAAGAGCUGGCUGUAUCCUGAGACAGAAAGGUAAUCUCAAAAUGCCUAUAAAAUGCUUGUAACGAAUGACUUUUAUAGGUGUAUUCAGACUGCAUUAGGAACAGAAUGCAAGGGGAACUUGUAUAUAACAAUAGAAGCUAAGUUAGAAAAAAAGGGGGGUGGGGAUGUUUUCUUCUGUGUAUUAUCAAUUGUUGAAUUAUUUUAUGAUCAGCCAGCAUCCUUGUAGUCCUCUGUCGUAAUGUGUUUCUUGUCAGAUGUCCCUGUGGUUCCAGCAUGUCUGUGGAGAACUUCUCCUGCCAUAUACUUGGUGUCACAGCCCAGCUGUUGGAGGCUAUUACUUUGAUGUGCCAACUCAUCCUGCUUCCACAUGUAGGAUACUGGUACUAGGAAUCAGUGACUCAGGCUGCAAUGAAAAAUACUGCCUUUCUAAUGACAGUAGCAACAGCUGUGAUGACAAGAAGUGUUUUUAAAAUGAUAUUAAUAAGAGGGAUCUUUAAAUGUUUUUAGCAGAGGUGUACAGUACAAGUAAGUGCUGUGGCAAUCCAUUUUCAGCAGGAAAUGUCUCCAUACAUAGUCCUGGCAUACGGUAAUAGCUCUGCAUGCAAGCAGCAAUCAGAUGCUCUAAGUAGUAACACCUGGGUCUGCUGCAGCUAGCUAAGUGACCUUAAAUAUCUAUCACCUAUCUACAUAUGCAGAUGUUCUCCCAUCACAAAGGAGGAUUAAUAGUGCUACUUCAUAGAGCUAAUGAGAAAACGAAUCAGUUAAUGUUUGAUUCACAAGAGCCAUAAAGCAUUAUAUAGACACUGUUUGCUUUUAACUCGUUGCUCUAUCAUGCUAGCUAAUAGGCAGUAUUAUUCAUCUUGAUACUAUUAUUAAAAUCACAUUAUAUUUCAGUGAUAACACAAAGCACCUUUCUGGUAUGUUUUCUCUUGCUUCUUUUCCACUUACUAUUUCUCUGCAAGGCUACUUGAAGUGCACAAUGUCAUCUCAACAGUAUGCAUAUGUUAGAAGAUAUAGAUAGGUAGGAAGUUUUGUGGGUUUUCUUUCUCCCAUCACUUAGUGACAUAUAAUUUCACUGGAGGAUGUAUGAUUUUGUAAACCUUUAUAUGGGGUCUUAGAGCCAUCUAUAUAACAGUAAGUUCAUAUUCAGUAAUGACAGAUCACCAACACAGAAACCUAUGCAUGUUAAAAUGAAAUGUAUCAAUAAACAUACAGUAUAAAUAAAUAAGCCACAACUACUUUUAUAUUUCUUUGCUUCUUUUUUGUUUUUACUUUUUUCUUUUUUUUCCCUCGGUAAUAAUUCUGUUUAUCAUACAUCCCUCAGACAAGUUGGGAUGCAGCCUGUCCUGAUUCAGCCAUUGAUGUCCUGGGAAUGUGGUUGGAGGAUGAGACAGAUCCUGUUUAGUGCUUCUUCAAACUGAUACUGUAUUUUCAUAGCACUUCCUUAUGACAACAGUUCUUUUGAAGCUUCUGUUUAAAAACAUCUUUCUUGGUACUAUGUGAGUCUUUCCAGUCCACCCAGUUGGAGUUUCUUUUUACUUGUAUCUUUCCAUCUGGAUUCAGAGCAAUCUGAAAAAUCAGUUCUCGCUCUUGCAAGGGUUAAAUUUCUGCUAACAAAUAUGAACUGUUUGAUAUGAAAACCAUUAUUGUUUGAUAUGUCAAAUAAAACAUUUGUCAAUCAAAAGUCUU